rnacentral:rRNA from 1 species
CCUACGGGCGGCAGCAGUGGGGAAUAUUGCACAAUGGGGGAAACCCUGAUGCAGCAACGCCGCGUGAGUGAAGAAGUACUUCGGUAUGUAAAGCUCUAUCAGCAGGGAAGAAGAUGACGGUACCUGACUAAGAAGCCCCGGCGAACUACGUGCCAGCAUCCGCGGUAAUACGUAGGGGGCAAGCGUUAUCCGGAUUUAUUGGGUGUAAAGGGAGCGUAGACGGGAAGGCAAGCCAGAAGUGAAAGGGGAGGGGUCAACCCUGGACAUGCGGUUGAAACUGUGGUGCUAGAGUGCAGGAGAGGUAAGUGGAAUGCGUAGUGUAGCGGUGAAAUGCGUAGAUAUUAGGAGGAACACCAGUGGCGAAGGCAGCUUACUGGACUGUAACUGACGUUGAGGCUCGAAAGCGUGGGGAGCAAACAGGAUUAGAUACCCGAGUAGUC